rnacentral:rRNA from 1 species
UACGGGGGGAGCAAGCGUUGUUCGGAUUUACUGGGCGUAAAGGGCGCGUAGGCGGUUUGUCAAGUCAGUUGUGAAAUCUCCGAGCUUAACUCGGAACGGUCAACUGAUACUGUCAAACUAGAGUACAGAAGGGGCAAUCGGAAUUCUUGGUGUAGCGGUGAAAUGCGUAGAUAUCAAGAGGAACACCUGAGGUGAAGACGGGUUGCUGGGCUGAUACUGACGCUGAGGCGCGAAAGCUAGGGUAGCAAACGGG